rnacentral:rRNA from 1 species
UACGAAGGGGGCUAGCGUUGUUCGAAAUUACUGGGCGUAAAGCGCACGUAGGCGGAUCCUUAAGUCAGGGGUGAAAUCCCGAGGCUCAACCUCGGAACUGCCUUUGAUACUGGGGAUAUCGAGUCCGGGAGAGGUGAGUGGAACUGCGAGUGUAGAGGUGAAAUUCGUAGAUAUUCGCAAGAACACCAGUGGCGAAGGCGGCUCACUGGCUCGGUACUGACGCUGAGGUGCGAAAGCGUGGGGAGCAAACAGG